AGUGAACGCUGGCGGUAGGCCUAACACAUGCAAGUCGAACGGCAGCACAGUAAGAUCUUGCUCUUACGGGUGGCGAGUGGCGGACGGGUGAGGAAUACAUCGGAAUCUACUUUUUCGUGGGGGAUAACGUAGGGAAACUUACGCUAAUACCGCAUACGACCUACGGGUGAAAGCAGUGGAUCUUCGGACCUUGCGCGAUUGAAUGAGCCGAUGUCGGAUUAGCUAGUUGGCGGGGUAAAGGCCCACCAAGGCGACGAUCCGUAGCUGGUCUGAGAGGAUGAUCAGCCACACUGGAACUGAGACACGGUCCAGACUCCUACGGGAGGCAGCAGUGGGGAAUAUUGGACAAUGGGCGAAAGCCUGAUCCAGCCAUACCGCGUGGGUGAAGAAGGCCUUCGGGUUGUAAAGCCCUUUUGUUGGGAAAGAAAAGCAGCAGGUUAAUACCCCGAUGUUCUGACGGUACCCAAAGAAUAAGCACCGGCUAACUUCGCG
rnacentral:rRNA from 1 species